rnacentral:RNase_P_RNA from 1 species
GUGCAGAUUUGUUCCAUCGCUGUCUCAUUUGGGAGAGAGGAAAGUCCGAGCAGCACAGAGCACCAUACAAGUUAACGGCUUGAUAUCCGUAAGGGUAUAUUAGUGUAACAGAAAAUAACCGCCGGCCUUCGGGGUUGGCAAGGGUGAAAAGGCGAGGUAAGAGCUCACCGCAAGUGCAGCAAUGUAUCUUGGCAGUACGCAUUAUGGGCUGUAAGGUUAUGUAUACCGGCAAUUAAGAAUUGCUCGUUCGAUGUCGGGGGGUAAACCGCUUGAGGUUGCGGGAGACCGCAAUCCUAGAUAAAUGAUGGAUUAAAACAGAACUCGGCUUAUGUAAUCUACAGGUGU